rnacentral:rRNA from 1 species
CACGACUACGAGUUUGAUCCUGGCUCAGAACGAACGCUGGCGGCAGGCCUAACACAUGCAAGUCGAGCGAGGUAGCAAUACCUAGCGGCGGACGGGUGAGUAACGCGUGGGAACGUACCCUUUGCUACGGAAUAGCCCCGGGAAACUGGGAGUAAUACCGUAUGUGCCCUUCGGGGGAAAGAUUUAUCGGCAAAGGAUCGGCCCGCGUUGGAUUAGGUAGUUGGUGGGGUAAUGGCCUACCAAGCCGACGAUCCAUAGCUGGUUUGAGAGGAUGAUCAGCCACACUGGGACUGAGACACGGCCCAGACUCCUACGGGAGGCAGCAGUGGGGAAUCUUAGACAAUGGGCGCAAGCCUGAUCUAGCCAUGCCGCGUGAGUGAUGAAGGCCUUAGGGUUGUAAAGCUCUUUCAGAUGGAAAGAUAAUGACGGUACCAUCAGAAGAAGCCCCGGCUAACUCCGUG